AUCGAUGUAAAGGAUCGUCGAACCGAUGAUGCGCACGCGUGACACGUAGGCCUACCAGAGCCGACCUUCGAUUGGCUGAGCCUGGGCUGACAACAAGGGUGGACCAAAGCGAGGAGGCUCCAUACUUGCCUAUCAUUUAUCUUCCCAACAACUCUGCCAGACACUGCACAUACUGGGAGACUUGGAUCCAAGUUCUGGCUUUCCCAUGUAGCUCCAUGUGGAUCAUAGUGAUAACUCCUUAAUUUCUCUGAGCUUUAAAAUGUACAUAGAAACAUCCACCUAAAGGUUGUCAUGUGGAGGAUCCAGAUAGUAAAAUAAAUCUGAAAUGAUGGAUCAAA